UUUUGGGAAGUAAAAGUCGUAACAAGGUUUCCGUUGGUGAACCAGCGGAGGGAUCAUUACCGAGUUAUACAACUCAUCAACCCUGUGAACAUACCUAUAACGUUGCCUCGGCGGGAACAGACGGCCCCGUAACACGGGCCGCCCCCGCCAGAGGGCCCCCUAACUCUGUUUCUAUAAUGUUUCUUCUGAGUAAACAAGCAAAUAAAUUAAAACUUUCAACAACGGAUCUCUUGGCUCUGGCAUCGAUGAAGAACGCAGCGAAAUGCGAUAAGUAAUGUGAAUUGCAGAAUUCAGUGAAUCAUCGAAUCUUUGAACGCACAUUGCGCCCGCCAGUAUUCUGGCGGGCAUGCCUGUUCGAGCGUCAUUACAACCCUCAGGCCCCCGGGCCUGGCGUUGGGGAUCGGCGGAAGCCCCCUGCGGGCACAACGCCGUCCCCCAAAUACAGUGGCGGUCCCGCCGCAGCUUCCAUUGCGUAGUAGCUAACACCUCGCAACUGGAGAGCGGCGCGGCCACGCCGUAAAACACCCAACUUCUGAAUGUGACCUCGAAUCAGGUAGGAUGCCCCACCC
rnacentral:rRNA from 1 species